AUUGAACGCUGGCGGCAUGCUUUACACAUGCAAGUCGAACGGUAACGCGGGGCAACCUGGCGACGAGUGGCGAACGGGUGAGUAAUGCAUCGGAACGUGCCCGGGAGUGGGGGAUAACUGCUCGAAAGAGCAGCUAAUACCGCAUAAGACCUGAGGGCGAAAGGGGGGGAUCGCAAGACCUCUCGCUAUUGGAGCGGCGGGUGUCGGAUUAGCUAGUUGGUGGGGUAAGGGCCCACCAAGGCGACGAUCCGUAGCUGGUCUGAGAGGACGACCAGCCACACUGGGACUGAGACACGGCCCAGACUCCUACGGGAGGCAGCAGUGGGGAAUUUUGGACAAUGGACGCAAGUCUGAUCCAGCCAUGCCGCGUGCGGGAAGAAGGCCUUCGGGUUGUAAACCGCUUUUGUCAGAGAAGAAAUCUUCUGGGUUAAUACCUCGGGAGGAUGACGGUAUCUGAAGAAUAAGCACCGGCUAACUACGUGCCAGCAGCCGCAGUAA
rnacentral:rRNA from 1 species